UUUUCAUAAUUAUGUAUUAAAAAAUAAUAAAAAGUAAUUAUCUUUUUAAAACGGAGGAAAUGUGAAGUAUGAUAUUAUAUAUCUGUACUCUUUUCAACUUUUAUUUCCUUCUCUUUGCGAAAUGAAGGGAACUGACCAAUUUGCAAACAUUAUCUGACUUCAUUGUUGGCAAAGAUAAAGGGUCUACUAGACCUUAUGGAGUUGAAGUGUCUCCGUGGAAGAUUAUGCAUUUCAAGAUUGGAAAAUGGGACAGAUGCUUGAGAUGCAAGAGAGGCCAACUUAAAGAACAAGGAAGAUCUAGAUGUGUUGUUUUUUUAAAUGGGGUUCUAAAUUUGCAGAUUCGCGGAAUGAAAGAGUCGAAAAGGAUGUACUCGAUAUGCUACACCACACACAAAGAUGAAAGAGCUAACAAUUCAAUGCUAUGGUGGAAUCAGGUUUCCUAUUUGGUUAGUAGAUGCUUCAUUCUCUUAUCUUGCAGUCGUAAGGCUAGAGAGUUGAAAAAAAUGCACAUCAUUGCCACCAGUUGGGCUCCUACCCUUCCUGAAAGACUUGAGUAUCAUAGGAAUUUCGGGGAUCAAGAGUAUUGGUCUUGAAUUUUAUGGUCCGAGUUUCUCUAGGCAAUUUCCAGCCUUGGAGAUGCUAUGCUUUCAGGCCUUGGAAGACUGGGAAGGUUGGAUUCCAUAUGCAGCUGAUUGUAAAGAAUUCCAAUGUUUGCGUGAGCUUUGGAUUGAAAACUUGUUGGAAAGUCGAAGAAUAUUUGUAUUAAUAAGCAAUAUACUGCUGCCUUAUUUAGGAGAUUAGUAGGAGCUUGAUUGUAGGAUCAGAUCAAUUAUAGGAGCUAAAAUCUCUCUAUCAUUUAUGUAAUAUGCUGUAUAUAAACAACCUCAAUAUACAAUAUAAAUCUCUCUAGAAUACCUGUGUACUUCUUUUCAUGGUAUCAGAGCAGGACUAGAUCUGACUCUUUAUUUCUUUUAAAUCCUUUGAUUAUCAUUCUUGUAUUUCUCUCAUCAUGGCUAAAGGAGAUGUCCCUCUUCCUUUUGAAACAAACAAAAAUCAAAACUCUGUUGAAUUAUCAAAGGCAGAUUCAUCUGAUCCUAAUCACAGUCAUCAUUCAGAUCAUCCUGGAAUGAUUUUAGUCUCCAAAACCCUCAACGGUGACAAUUACCCUGGUUCGAAAAGGGCCAUGACAUUGGCUUUGAACUCAAAGAACAAGCUAGGAUUCGUUGAUGGCUUUUGUGAACCACCAUCAAAAGAAAAACAUCAUGAUUCAUAUGGAUCUUAGUCUAGAUGCAAUGACAUGGUCCAUUCUUGGAUUAUCAACACUCUUGAUCCAGAGAUCGCUGGCAGCGUCAUCUACUAUGCUACUGCUCACGAAGUUUGGGAAGAUCUACGUGAGCGACUCUCACAAGGUAAUGCUCCUCAUUUUUUUGAAAUUUAGCAAAGCAUCGCAUCUCUCAAACAAGGACAACUCUCUGUUUUUGCUUAUUAUACUAAAUUGAAAAAUUUAUGGGAUGAUUAACUAUCUAUUCUGACUCAAACAAAGGAGCACCGGGUGAGCAAUAAAAAUUGAUGCAGUUUCUAAUGUGGUUAAAUGAUACUUACACUGCGAUUCAGAGUUAGAUUUUGUUGCAGAGCCCUUUACCCACUAUUCGUCAAUCAUAUGCCUCAAUCACCCAAGCAGAAAAACAAAUCCAAAUCAGUUCUACAGCGAAUGAAUCAGUAGCAACCAUGGCAGUCAAGAGCAAUCCCAAACAACAAAUUCAAUCAUCAUCUCAUGGUGGAAACUCCAAUAAUUCUUCAGGGAACAGUGGGUGAUGGCACUCAGGCAAUGGAGGAUGAUGGACCUCAGGUGAUAAUUCGAGUGCGGUUGAUGGUCGUCAGAAGGCCGAUAGGGAAGAAGACGCGGCCAGGACAGAGGAGGUCAUUCUAUUGGCAUUGGAAGAGGACGACCUUUUUGUUCAUACUGCAAUGACGAGGGUCACUGGGUUGAUACAUGUUGAGAAUUACAUGGGUAUCCAUCUACUCAUCCAAAAGCAAAGUCAGCCCAAUAUAAGUCUGCUAAUAAUAUCUCUAUGACUCCAGGUGAUGAAGAAGGAACCGUUACUAUAUCUAAAACCCAUUUGGAACAGCUUAUUUCAAUGCUCAACAAACAAGAAAUCAAAUCUGGUUCAACCUCUGAUCGAAAAGCUAAUACGGUAGCAAGAACAGGAUUUGGCUACGAGGAGGACGAUUGGUUUGGGUAAACAACAAAGUGGACUAUACUAUUUGGAGGCAUUGGCAGUUUACAAAGAUAAGCAUAAGUCAAACACAACUAAAAUUUCUCCAUCUUGCAACCUUAUCACUUCAUCCACUGAUUUGUGGCAUAAUCAUUUGGGACUUGUCUCUCCUUUACGAUUGAAUUUUUUUGCUAAACAUAUUUCGAAUUUUUCAGUUGAAUCAAAUAAAAUUUGUCAUAUUUGUCCUUUGGCUAAACAAAGCCGUUUGUCUUUCGGAACAGUACUAUUUCUUUUAUUUAACCAUUUGAUAUUAUUCAUUGCGAUAUUUAGGGUCCCUAUUGUCAUGUUUCACUUUCUGGUGCUCAUUAUUUUCUCACCAUUGUUGAUGAUUAUACACGUUUUACAUGGAUUUUUUUGAUGAAACACAAAGAUGAAACUCAACCUAUUUUGAAACGUUUCUUUAGCUAUGUUCUUACCCAAUUUGGAACAUGAAUUAAAACUUUUUGCAGUGACAAUGGUGGAGAAUUUCUUUCUCUUCGCAUUUUUUUUCAAGAUAAUAGUGUCAUUUUUCAACAUUCUUGUGUUUACACCCCCCAACAAAAUGGGGUGGUAGAGCGAAAAUAUCGCCAUAUUCUUCAGGUUGCUCGUGCCUUAAAGUUUCAGACUAGUCUUCCCAUAAAACUUUGGGGAGAAUGUGUCAUCACAUCUGUUUAUUUUAUUAAUCGAUUACCCUCUCCGCUUCUUUCUUUCAAAACCCCCAAUUUUUUCUCACUUUCGCGUGUUUGGUUGUCUUGCAUAUGCUACAAAUGUUAAUGUUUCUCAUAAAUUUGAUUCUCGAGCUAUUCCCGCUGUUUUCAUUGGUUAUCCCCUUAGUCAAAAAGCAUAUAAAUUGUACGAUCUCACUACAAAAAUAAUCUUCACUAGUCGAGAUGUCAAAUUUUAUGAGAACAUCUUUCCUUAUUCCUCCUGUCCAGAUACUUACUUCAGACCCCAAACUGAAGCCCAUCUUCCUGGCCCAAUCCCUCUAAUUCCACCUACCUUUAAUGACCUUUUGACAUCUCUGAGGUAAAUCAAAACACUAAAUAGAGGACUGGCCAAACCGACCCAUCACCCCCUAUUACACCACGGUCACAUCCACCACCAACCACCGUCCCUUCCACCACUCUUCACACCUACUCCCGGCGUCCAUCUCGCCAUACAACCAUCCAACCUCCCAUAAAUCCAGUAGCUAUUGAUCCAAUCUUAACCCAAUCUCCCAAUCUAUCAAACCAAGAAACAAUUUCACCAACUACUGCUCCUUCCGAUGUCGCACCUCAACCCGAACUAGCCGCUGCUUACCGCUGAAGCCGCCCCACAGUUCAACCUCAAAAGCUUCGAGACUAUGUUUGCUCUGUUGUUACAUCUGACCACUCUAAUCCUCUAUUGCCAAGUUCUACAAAAGAGGCAGCAGCUAGUCCCAAUUGGCAGAAAGUGAUGCAAGCUGAGUUAUAAGCACUUGAGGACAAUGGAACCUGGUCUCUUACGUCUCUUCCUGUUGGUAAAAUUCCAAUUGGAUGUCGUUGGGUGUACAAAAUAAAACGGAAGUCAGAUGGCUCAAUUAAAGGUAUAAAGCAUGGUUGGUUGCUAAGGGCUACACACAGUUGGAGGGUGUUGACUUUCAAGAUACUUUCUCUCCUACCGCCAAGAUUAUUUCAGUUUGGUGUUUGAUGACUAUUGUUGCUGCUCGGGGUUGGACCUUGCAUCAUCUUAAUGUAAACAAUGCUUUUUUACAUGGCAAUCUUAAUGAGGAAAUAUACAUGUCACUGCCGCCUGGGCUCCGGCGACAGGGGGAGAAUCAAUUAGUUUGUCGCCUUCACAAAUCCUUAUACGAGCUGAAGCAGGUGUCUAGACAAUGGUUUGCAAAGUUUUCAGAAGCUAUUCGUUCAACUGGUUUUAUAAAAUCCAAGGUAGACUAUUCUCUCUUCACCAAAAGAGAAGGCAAGUCUUUUACUGUCCUUUUGAUUUAUGUGGAUGAUAUUCUGAUUACUGGCAAUGAUUCGCUUUACAUAACUGAUGUUAAGAAUUUCCUGCAUAAAAAUUUUUGACUCAAAGAUCUAGGAAAUUUGAAAUAUUUCUUGGACAUUGAAGUUUCUACAUCUAGAAAAGGCAUUAAUACAUCUCAGCGAAAAUAUGCUUUGGAGAUUAUCAAAGAUGCAGGUUUAUUGGGUGCUGCUCAUGUUGAGACUCCUAUGGAGCGUAGUACAAAAUUAUAUGAAAAUAGUGAACCACUUCAUGACCCGGGAAAAUACAGAAGGCUUAUUGGCAGGUUAAUUUAUCUCACGGUUUCAAGACCAAACAUCUCCUAUGCAGUUAAUGUUCUAAGCAGAUUUAUUCAUCAGCCUCGGAAAGAACAUUGGGAUGUAGCUUUGCGUGUCGUGCGCUACUUAAAAGGAUCCCCUAGUCAAGGUCUUUUCUUUUAUGCAAACAAUGAUUUUAAACUAAGGACUUUUUGUGAUUCGGAUCGGGCAUGAUGUCCUCUCACUAGAAGAUCAACCACAGGUUACUGCAUAUUCUUGGGUCAUUCUUUAAUAUCAUGGAAGUCAAAACGGUAGAAAACAGUUUCUCUAUCAUCAGCAGAAGCCGAAUAUCGAGCAAUGACAGGAGCAUGUUAUGAAUUAACAUGGUUGCGGUGUCUGCUUCAAGAUUUAGGAGUUUUUCAACAAGAAUCUGCUUUAUUAUACUGUGACAAUAAGAUUGCGUUACAUAUUGUGCUAAUCCUGUUUUCCAUGAAAGGACCGAACAUAUUGAAAUGGAUUGUCAUUUCAUAAUGGAUAAGAUUCAAAAAGGGGCUAUUGAAACAAAAUUUGUAAAGUCAGAAAAUCAACUCGCACAUGUGUUAACUAAAGCUUUGGAA